UCUACUAGUUGUUCAAUAAAGAUUAUGAAUUUAUUGGAACGAUACAGAGAAGAUUAGCAUGGCCCCUGCGCAAGGAUGACACGCAAAUUUGUGAAGCAUUCCAUAUUUUU